rnacentral:lncRNA from 1 species
CAUGUCCUGAUUCCUAGUCUGUUGCUCUGAUAGAUCUCAUUGCCUCUCUUAGGGACUUGUAUGGUUGCUUAUAUCCUAGCUGCAGAAUUAAACAAGAGGAAAUCUAGCUAUAAGCUCUGUUCCCAGAGAAAUACUAUAAAUACAGGCAUGAAGAAACAAACAUUAACUAUAAAUUAAUUGUUAUUUCCAUUUCAAAAAGUUGUGAAAGGUUUCUGGAGCUCCCCAAGAUUCAUCCAAGUUGGCUUCU